ACGAGAUGAAACAAGAUGAAACAAGAUGAAACAAGAUGAAAUAAAGUAAAGGUCGUGAAAUUAUACACAAUAUCUCCUAAAAUAAGAAACGAUAAGUUAGUUAGCUCAAAUUUCAUGAAGUGUGCGAGUAUUAAUACGAUUUACUAUAUGUUAAAAGGUCGUUGCAGAUGUUCGUUUAUAAAACGACCAGCCGUGUCACGUUUCUCGUUUUAUGGCGAUACACUGCAGGAUUUUGCAUGAUUUAUCUGGCAAUUCUUGGAGUGCAGACUCGUCAAUUAUGUAAGGGAUGGGAAGAGAACAGAGAGACGAGGCAAAGAUGAAACGAACGGAGAUAGAAACGUCGUAGCUGUUAACGGAACCUUGAACGAGAACUUACAACGAAGGAACUGUACGUAUAACAGUGGCAUAUAUAUUUUUAUUAACAAACGAUGAAUCGAACAGCGUUCAAAGGAGAACGAUAGAAAUUAGCCGAUUUUGGAUCUCGAUGUCAACGAAGAAUUUUAACGAGAUAUGUUUCUACACCUUUUAAGGAGCGUGCAAUGUAUGAUUAUUUAUCUGGCAGGAAAGUUAUAAAACAUUAUUAUUGGUUGGUAUCAAGCACAUUUGAAAAAUUAUGUUUUUAUCGUCGCGGCACAGCAAGAAACAACAUCGUUAUAUUCGCCGUAGAAAGUGACGCUUCAGAAGCUACAGAAAUAUUGGAACAGCGAAUUAUCCACUGUACUGUAUAUCAACAAGUAGAAAAGACAUCUGAAAUUUCAAAGCAGGAAAAAGGAAAAUGGUGACAGAGAUGAACACGAAUGCGGCCUUGAAGCUGCUUCUCGAAAAUAAAAUGAGCCAGAGACGAGCCGCUGAGGCUACCAAUGUUUCAAAAACGCGAAGGCCGAGCACACGUCCAAUGCACAGACCAAGAAAAUAUUAUUUAUUUUACUCGUGAUAUACGUGAAAGUCAAACUUGAACAGAGAUGCGUCUUCUGACAUCUGAGUGUUUCUUUUUUUAACGUUAUUAAUCAUUUAGACCGAAAAAUCUACCAAUGAAAUAAUUGGUCGGCCCUGAACGACAAUUUUUCCUACAAAUCGCAACAUUUCUAUUCUUGAAAAUGACCAAUUGUUAUCGUCGAAUUUCAGGAAAUUAAUAUCACUUUAUCAAGUUCCAAUCGUCCAGAAACUCGUUCUUCGAAUUUUCAUUUCUGCCGACUCCGCUCCAAGAUACGAGGAAAAAGCUCGCAGCCAUCGAUACCGCGCAACUCUGCCCUGUGUUAAAUUUCGCAUCAUUUGAUAAUACCUUCGUAUGGCUAUCAAAAUUUCCUACUAUGAAAACGGGGGAAAAAACGAAGGGAAGAAAUUGAAAAAUCAUCCAAC